GGGGAAUAUUGCGCAAUGGGCGAAAGCCUGACGCAGCGACGCCGCGUGAGGGAUGAAGGCCUUCGGGUCGUAAACCUCUGUCAGGAGGGAAGAACCGCUAUGGUAGUAACUGACCAUAGUCUGACGGUACCUCCAAAGGAAGCACCGGCUAACUCCGUGCCAGCAGCCGCGGUAAUACGGAGGGUGCGAGCGUUAAUCGGAAUCACUGGGCGUAAAGCGCGCGUAGGCGGCUUUGCAAGUCAGGGGUGAAAUCCCUCCGCUCACCGGAGGAAUUGCCUUUGAAACUGUGAGGCUUGAGUUUGUGAGAGGAUGGCGGAAUUCCAGGUGUAGGGGUGAAAUCCGUAGAGAUCUGGAGGAACAUCAGUGGCGAAGGCGGCUAUCUGGCACAAUACUGACGCUGAGGUGCGAAAGCGUGGGGAGCAAAC
rnacentral:rRNA from 1 species